CCACGAAAGCCUUCCAGAUUAAUCUAUUUUCCCUUUGAAACCAAACUUCCCUCAAUCUUUCACCAUUCAGAUCUCUUCCAAGGGAAAAUGGGUCGUUCAAGCCGCACGCUCUAUGUGGGCAAUCUGCCUGGUGACACUCGUCUCAGAGAAGUCGAAGAUUUAUUUUACAAGUAUGGGCCCAUUGUUGAUAUUGACUUGAAGAUCCCACCAAGUCCCCCCUGGAUAUGCUUUUAUUGAGUUUGAGGACCCUCGUGAUAUUGAAGAUGCAAUUCGCGGUCGAGAUGGGUACGACUUUGAUGGCUACUAUUUACGGGUUGAACUUGCUCAUGGUGAGC